rnacentral:lncRNA from 1 species
GCACGUACCUCCCCACCCCCAGCCCAGCCCCUCCUCUGGGCAUUGCUUAGGGUGGAGGCUCAGCCGAGGCCACUGCCAGGCUGCGGCCACCAUGGAAGGGCAGGGAGGACUUCUGGGGACUCUAAACAGAAGCUGAAUGAUGAGUAGGAGUGUGUGUGUGUGGUGAGGGAGAUGGUCAGUGUUCUGGUAGAGGGGACGAGCGUGGGACAUCCUGGGGAUCGUUCCUGUGGCACAGAGCAGGGAGCGUAUGUAGAUACACCAAUGAGGAAUAAAACAGAAGCCCACACUCUACAUUUACAGAGUACUACUGGGGACUUCUGGUUCUAGCCCUAAGAGGGUAACAGGUAUCAGACUUACCUCCCCGCCAUGAACAACUAGAAAACUGGGCAGAUUAUAUGAAGCAACUGUUUCUAAGCACUGGAUGACACCGCAGGGCUGUGGUCCCUAGAGAAGGACACACAUGAGGGCAGCUCCACCUUCACUCGGUGUUCUGCCUGGAGGCAGCCCAGGCACUUUCUAAACCACAGCAGAGGGGAGGGAGGCCCAGGGAGCAGUAAUCUCACUGGGCAGAGAAAGCAGAGGCUGGAGCUCAGGGCUGCUGAGGUGGCUGGUAUUUGUGGGGUUCCAGAGAGGAAAAGGUCAAGCAGAGAAGGAUCCCCAGGAAGUUACGCAGGAGUCCCCUUGAGUUUUCAAGCAAACACUUAGCUACACAUGCACAAGGCGAGGGUUUGUGGAGCCUCUCAGAGAAGAGCCACCAGGGAGCCAAAGGGAGACUCCAGAGGACACCCAGCAAGGGGAGACGUCGGAGUUCUGACCAGCCAGAAGGACAAGACCUUGCCGAAGACACCAGGGCCCCUGUGACCACUGCUCUGAUUUUGAUCCUUCUGAGAGGGCCACAGUUUCAGUGGAGAACUGCGCUAGCCCUGGAGUAAGGGCUGUUCCAGACCCAUCCAGACAAAGCCGAAAAACGAGUCUUGACAGGAUAAAACUGAUGUACAAAAAAAUGCAGCUAACCGCCAAAGCCAAACUCAGUAAUCUUUAAAGGAAGACAACAAAAUCCAGACUCUCAACAAGGUACUAUCACAAUGUCCAACAUCCAAGCAAAAAUGAUUAGAGAUGCGAUAAAGCAGGAAAAUGUGAAUCAUAACCAGAAGAAAAGUUAGCCAAUAAAGAGCCCCAUGGAAUUCAUGGGGCAAAGUGGAGGUACCCUCUGUCAUUAUGUAUUUUCCCAUCGGUAGACGGUUAGUUCCCCUGAAGCAGCGUUAACAUUAAAAAGGAGUUCUUGGAAGCAAAAGAGAGAGAGCCACAGGCAUAGGGGCCAUCCAGAACCCAAGUGUCCAUCAAGACGGCCAGUAGGUGCACAAUGUGGACGGUCCUAGAGCCGGGCACUGGGACCCAGAGUUGUGGGCUGCACAACUACAGCCCUGAGGGGUUCAGCCUGGGUGAAGAUAGAUAAGAGCACAGCACAGAUGGCAGAUGCCAUGAGAGGCACAGCAAAGGCUCUUGGGCACCAGAGGGUGAGAGUUAUGGAAGUCUUCGUGGAGGAGGUUCCUUUUGAAUUGAGCUUUAAAAGAUGGUUGGAUGUCAACUGCAUCUCAAUAAAAAUUUGUAAAAAAUAAGAAUAAAAAUAAAAGAUGGUUGGGAAA